rnacentral:rRNA from 1 species
UUUAUCGAGAAAGGUCUAUGAUAAGCCAUUGGUGUAUCUGGAUAAUGCGGCAACCACGCAGAAGCCAUUGUGCGAGCGAACGCGAAGGAGCCUGUUAGUGAUAAUGACAGAGACAGAGGAACAAGCUGGGAAGCUUGGCGAUACAGGGUGAUAGCCCCGUACUCGAAGUCCAGGUCAUGGUACUAAGCUAACGACAAGUAGGGCGGGACACGUGAUAUCCUGUUUGAAGAUGGGGGGACCAUCCUCCAAGGCUAAAUACUCCUGAUUGACCGAUAGUGAACCAGUACUGUGAAGGAAAGGCGAAAAGAACCCCGGUGAGGGGAGUGAAAUAGAACCUGAAACCUUGUACGUACAAGCAGUGGGAGCCCUUUUGGGGUGACUGCGUACCUUUUGUAUAAUGGGUCAGCGACUUAUAUUCUGUAGCAAGGUUAACCGAAUAGGGGAGCCGAAGGGAAACCGAGUCUUAACUGGGCGUUAAGUUGCAGGGUAUAGACCCGAAACCCGGUGAUCUAGCCAUGGGCAGGUUGAAGGUUGGGUAACACUAACUGGAGGACCGAACCGACUAAUGUUGAAAAAUUAGCGGAUGACUUGUGGCUGGGGGUGAAAGGCCAAUCAAACCGGGAGAUAGCUGGUUCUCCCCGAAAGCUAUUUAGGUAGCGCCUCGUGAAUUCAUCUCCGGGGGUAGAGCACUGUUUCGGCAAGGGGGUCAUCCCGACUUACCAACCCGAUGCAAACUGCGAAUACCGGAGAAUGUUAUCACGGGAGACACACGGCGGGUGCUAACGUCCGUCGUGAAGAGGGAAACAACCCAGACCGCCAGCUAAGGUCCCAAAGUCAUGGUUAAGUGGGAAACGAUGUGGGAAGGCCCAGACAGCCAGGAUGUUGGCUUAGAAGCAGCCAUCAUUUAAAGAAAGCGUAAUAGCUCACUGGUCGAGUCGGCCUGCGCGGAAGAUGUAACGGGGCUAAACCAUGCACCGAAGCUGCGGCAGCGACGCUUAUGCGUUGUUGGGUAGGGGAGCGUUCUGUAAGCCUGUGAAGGUGUACUGUGAGGUAUGCUGGAGGUAUCAGAAGUGCGAAUGCUGACAUAAGUAACGAUAAAGCGGGUGAAAAGCCCGCUCGCCGGAAGACCAAGGGUUCCUGUCCAACGUUAAUCGGGGCAGGGUGAGUCGACCCCUAAGGCGAGGCCGAAAGGCGUAGUCGAUGGGAAACAGGUUAAUAUUCCUGUACUUGGUGUUACUGCGAAGGGGGGACGGAGAAGGCUAUGUUGGCCGGGCGACGGUUGUCCCGGUUUAAGCGUGUAGGCUGGUUUUCCAGGCAAAUCCGGAAAAUCAAGGCUGAGGCGUGAUGACGAGGCACUACGGUGCUGAAGCAACAAAUGCCCUGCUUCCAGGAAAAGCCUCUAAGCAUCAGGUAACAUCAAAUCGUACCCCAAACCGACACAGGUGGUCAGGUAGAGAAUACCAAGGCGCUUGAGAGAACUCGGGUGAAGGAACUAGGCAAAAUGGUGCCGUAACUUCGGGAGAAGGCACGCUGAUAUGUAGGUGAAGUCCCUCGCGGAUGGAGCUGAAAUCAGUCGAAGAUACCAGCUGGCUGCAACUGUUUAUUAAAAACACAGCACUGUGCAAACACGAAAGUGGACGUAUACGGUGUGACGCCUGCCCGGUGCCGGAAGGUUAAUUGAUGGGGUCAGCGCAAGCGAAGCUCUUGAUCGAAGCCCCGGUAAACGGCGGCCGUAACUAUAACGGUCCUAAGGUAGCGAAAUUCCUUGUCGGGUAAGUUCCGACCUG